CAUGAAGUCGGAAUUGCUAGUAAUCGCAGAUCAGCAUGCUGCGGUGAAUACGUUCCCGGGCCUUGUACACACCGCCCGUCACACCAUGGGAGUCGGUAACACCCGAAGUCGGUAGCCUAACCGUAAGGAGGGCGCCGCCGAAGGUGGGAUUGAUGACUGGGGUGAAGUCGUAACAAGGUAAC
rnacentral:rRNA from 1 species